CUGGCCUCUCGGGGCAUGUGCACGCCCGAGCCCUUAAUCCACACACACCUGUGAACCUAUUGUAAGGGCCCUUAAAAAAGGCCUUUACGUCUUAUCAUCAACCCAUCGUAUGUCUCAUAGAAUGUAAAUAUAUGUCCUCGCCUUAAAAAGCGUUGAUAAACUUAUACAACUUUCAACAACGGAUCUCUUGGCUCUCGCAUCGAUGAAGAACGCAGCGAAAUGCGAUAAGUAAUGUGAAUUGCAGAUUUUCAGUGAAUCAUCGAAUCUUUGAACGCACCUUGCGCUCCUUGGUAUUCCGAGGAGCAUGCCUGUUUGAGUGUCAUUAAAUUCUCAACUCNGAUCGAUUUGUUUCGACUUCGGAGCUUGGAUUUGGAGCGUGCUGGCGUCGGUCGGCUCCUCUUAAAUGCAUCAGCGGAAUCUAACGUUUCGGANGUCAGUGUGAUAAUCAUGUUGCGCUGUCUGUCUGAUCCGAAAGCCCGCUCACAAUGGUCUUCGGACAACUUCAUAUCAAAUUUGACCUCAAAUCAGGUAGGACUACCCGCUGAACUUAAGCAUAUCAAUAAGCGGAGGAAAAGAAACUAACAAGGAUUCCCCUAGUAACUGCGAGUGAAGCGGGAAAAGCUCAAAUUUAAAAUCUGGCGGUCUUGCGGCCGUCCGAGUUGUAAUCUGGAGAAGCGUUUAUCCGCGUCGGACCGUGUACAAGUCUUCUGGAAGGGAGCGUCGUAGA
rnacentral:rRNA from 1 species